rnacentral:lncRNA from 1 species
AUGCUCCCAGCGGACAAGCUCCUGCGGCCCCACCUGUGCUCCGCUGGCCUGGCGGCCCCGCGCCCUCGGAGGGGAACCGCGACGGCCCCUCGCCCCCCGCCCACCACACCCUCCAGGCCCGGAAGCACGACCGCCGGGACGCAGACCCCAGACCCGCCCCCGCCGCCCGGGACCAAGUUGCCUACGCCGACACGCCCAAGAACCCGCUUCAGAACCGCUGGUCGAGACGCCGAGGCGAAGACCCAGACCCACCGGCCGCCCGGGACCCCGCUGCCGACGCCGACACGCCCAAGAACCCGCUUCAGAACCGCUGGGUCGAGACGCCGAGGCGAAGACCCCAGACCCUCCGCCGCCGGGGACCCCGCUGCCGACGCCGACACGCCCAAGAACCCGCUUCAGAACCACCGAGUCGAGACGCCGGGGCGCCGACCCAGACCCGCCGCCGCCGGGGAACCCGCUGCCGACGCCGACACGCCCAAGAACCCGCUUCAGAACCGCUGGGUCGAGAGGCCGAGGCGAAGACCCAGACCCUCCGCCGCCUGGGACGCCGCUGCCGACGCCGACUCCCAAGAACCCUCCUCAGAACCACUGGGUCGAGGCUCGAGGCGAAGACCCAGACCCACCGGCCGCCCGGGACCACACUGCCGAUGCCAACUCCCAAGAACCCACCUCAGAACCACUGGGUCGAGGCUCGAGGCGAAGACCCCAGGCGUACAGCCGCCCGGGACCACACUGCCGAUGCCAACUCCCAAGAACCCACCUCAGAACCACUGGGUCGAGACGCCAAGGCGAAGACCCCAGACCCGCCGCCGCCGGGGAACCCGCUGCCGACGCCGACACGCCCAAGAACCCGCUUCAGAACCGCCCGGUCGAGACGCCGAGGCGAAGACCCCAGACCCCAGACCCAACGCCGUCCGGGACCCCGCUGCCGACGCCGACACGCCCAAGAACCCGCUUCAGAACCGCCCGGUCGAGACGCCGCGGCGCAGACCCCAGACCCACCGUCCGCCCGGGACCCCGGUGCCGACGCUGAAACGCCCAAGAACCCGCCUCAGAACCGCCGGGUGGAGAUGCCAGGGGAAGACCCCAGACCCGCCGCCGCCCGGGACCAAGUUGCCGACGCCGACACGCCCAAGAACCCGCUUCAGAACCGCUGGGUCGAGACGCCGAGGCGAAGACCCCAGACCCACCGGCCGCCCGGGGACCCCGCUGCCGACGCCGACACGCCCAAGAACCCGCUUCAGAACCGCUGGGUCGAGACGCCGAGGCGAAGACCCCAGACCCAACGCCGUCCGGGACCCCGCUGCCGACGCCGACUCCCAAGAACCCUCCUCAGAACCACUGGGUCGAGGCUCGAGGCGAAGACCCCAGGCGUACAGCCGCCCGGGACCACACUGCCGAUGCCAACUCCCAAGAACCCACCUCAGAACCACUGGGUCGAGACGCCAAGGCGAAGACCCCAGACCCGCCGCCGCCGGGGAACCCGCUGCCGACGCCGGACACGCCCAAGAACCCGCUCAGAACCGCCGGGUCGAGACGCCGAGGCGAAGACCCCAGACCCAACGCCGUCCGGGACCCCGCUGCCGACGCCGACACGCCCAAGACCCGCUUCAGAACCGCUGGGUCGAGACGCCGCGGCGCAGACCCCAGACCCACCGGCCGCCCGGGACCCCGGUGCCGACGCUGAAACGCCCAAGAACCCGCCUCAGAACCGCCGGGUCGAGACGCCGGGGCGCCGACCCCAGACCCGCCGCCGCCCGGGACCCCGCUGCCGACGCCGACACGCCCAAGAACCCGCUCAGAACCGCUGGUCGAGACGCCGAGGCGAAGACCCCAGACCCACCGGCCGCCCGGGGACCCCGCUGCCGACGCCGGACACGCCCAAGAACCCGCUUCAGAACCGCUGGGUCGAGACGCCGAGGCGAAGACCCCAGACCCAACGCCGUCCGGGACCCCGCUGCCGACGCCGACUCCCAAGAACCCUCCUCAGAACCACUGGGUCGAGGCUCGAGGCGUACAGCCGCCCGGGACCACACUGCCGAUGCCAACUCCCAAGAACCCACCUCAGAACCACUGGGUCGACGCCGAGUCGAAGACCCCAGACCCGCCGCCGCCCGGGACCCCGCUGCCGACGCCGACACGCCCAAGAACCCGCUUCAGAACCGCCGGGUCGAGACGCCGAGGCGAGGACCCCAGACCCGCCGCCGCCCGGGACCCCGCUGCCGCCGCCGACACGCCCAGAACCCGCUUCAGAACCGCCGUGUCGGGACGCCGGGGUGCAGACCCCAGACUCACCGGCCGCCCGGGACCCCGCUGCCGACGCCGACACGCCCAAGAACCCGCUUCAGAACCGCUGGGUCGAGACGCCGAGGCGAAGACCCCAGACCCGCCGGCCGUCCGGGACCUCGGUGCUGACGCUGACACGCCCAAGAACCCGCUUCAGAACCGCCGGGUCGGGACGCCGGGGUGCAGACCCCAGACUCACUGGCCGUCCGGGACCCCGCUGCCGACGCCGACUCCCAAGAACCGGUCUCAGCCCCGCACCGUCCACACCCGCACACCGCCCGAACCACUCGCGCGUCAGCUCACCGUCGCGGCGGCGGUCGCCGAGCGUCCACGCGGCCGGUUGCUACGUGACACGCGCGCGCACAAGCUAAGGCCUUAACUCGGCGACCGCGGCUAUGCCUGAGCAACUAACAGCGCGCGACCCUGGCCUCGACUUGACGUCACGGUGGCACGAGGCCGCCGGGCAGGGCGCCGCCUCCAGCCGGGAGGGCCGUUGAGCCCCGCCCCCACGUACGCGCGCGCGCUCCCCGGCG